AGUCCCGCGGUCCCGCCCGCUGCGGGGAGGGCGGCUCUUGGCGACCCAAUGUGGCUGGCCACCUGCGACAGGUGGCCGCUCGUCUCGGGGAGACCUGGGCCGCGCCCCUCGCCUCAGGGCCUCGGAAGCGCGGACGAAACCCAUUAGUCUUCCUUGGCGAUUGUCAAAACUUGCUGGCGGUUUCUGGCUCACCUUUCCCGUUUCCCCUUUCAAAAGGGAUGAGGAGGAAGGUUAUCAUGGCUUAGGGCGGGAACACCCACAGUAGUAGUCACCGAUUGUGGAAUCCAGGGGACAGCUUCUCCCGAAGGAUGUUCAAGGAGACUGGAGAAUGAAACAGCAGAUGCAUUCUGGGAUGCUUUGUCCUAAUAAAAGUCCAAAGAAUUUGCUGUGUUCCCUCUGCUCGAUAGCCAGGAUCUGGUUUCAGACCUGCUACCUUAUUCCCUCAGCCACACCUCCGUGCUCCGUGGUUGUCCCCAGUUGACCUCUAUCCUGUUCAUUUCUAUCAUGUUUUAGACAUGAUGUCUGGAGCGGCAGCAGAUAACUUAUGACCAUAAGGGUAAAAGCCAAAAGCUAAGGAUGAUGGAAUAGAAAAAGAGAAGAAGCCUGAGUAUUGGAGGAGCUAUAUCGUCCUGGAUUGCCUAUCCCCAGAUUUCUGGUUAUGUAAGAAAUUUAAGCUCCUUUCUUGGUUAAGGCACUAUUUUGUCAAGUCUCUGUUCAAAGUUAUAUAUCUUGAACAAUAUGUUGAUUUAUUGAGACUUUCCUCCUUUUGAGGAGUGCUGCCGAAAUGAUCGUUUUCCUAGCUCACUGUGUCAAGGACCACACUCAUUUGCUGCAUAUGCUGUUCUUUGUGCAUCAGUUAUAUGUUAAUUGACUCAAGAUUUACACCACUGGAAGAGUGCUGAAAAGAUAAUAAACAUUCCCAAGGGUACCUUUCUUCAACAGUUUGUGAACUUUUCUUCUGUAUUUCCCUUUGACAAUAAUCCCUC